CCUACGUGUGGCAGCAGUGGGGAAUAUUGCGCAAUAGGCGAAAGCCUGACGCAGCGACGCCGCGUGAGGGAUGAAGGUCUUCGGAUCGUAAACCUCUGUCAGCAGGGAAGAACGGUCACUGUGCUAAUCAGCAGUGACUUGACGGUACCUGCAAAGGACGCACCGGCUAACUCCGUGCCAGCAGCCGCGGUAAUACGGCGGGUGCGAGCGUUAAUCGGAAUUACUGGGCGUAAGGCGCUCGUAGGCGGUAUGUCAAGUCUAGGGUGAAAUCCCCGCGCUCAACGUGGGAACUGCCUUUGAAACUGGUAAACUGGAGUGGGUGAGAGGAGAGUGGAAUUCCAGGUGUAGGAGUGAAAUCCGUAGAUAUCUGGAGGAACAUCAGUGGCGAAGGCGACUAGCUGGAACAUAACUGACGCUGAGGAGCGAAAGCGUGGGUAGCAAACAGGAUUAGAUACCCCAGUAGUC
rnacentral:rRNA from 1 species